UACACUCCUGCGGGAGGCAGCAGUGGGGAAUAUUGGACAAUGGGCGCAAGCCUGAUCCAACCAUGCCGCGUGAGUGAUGAAGGCCCUAGGGUUGUAAAGCUCUUUCACCGGUGAAGAUAAUGACGGUAACCGGAGAAGAAGCCCCGGCUAACUUCGUGCCAGCAGCCGCGGUAAUACGAAGGGGGCUAGCGUUGUUCGGAUUUACUGGGCGUAAAGCGCACGUAGGCGGACUAUUAAGUCAGGGGUGAAAUCCCGGGGCUCAACCCCGGAACUGCCUUUGAUACUGGUAGUCUUGAGUUCGAGAGAGGUGAGUGGAAUUCCGAGUGCAGAGGUGAAAUUCGUAGAUAUUCGGAGGAACACCAGUGGCGAAGGCGGCUCACUGGCUCGAUACUGACGCUGAGGUGCGAAAGCGUGGGGAGCAAACAGGAUUAGAAACCCCAGUAGUCCCAUG
rnacentral:rRNA from 1 species